GAUGAACGCUAGCUACAGGCUUAACACAUGCAAGUCGAGGGACCGGCGCACGGGUGAGUAACACGUAUCCAACCUGCCCUUUACUCGGGGAUAGCCUUUCGAAAGAAAGAUUAAUACCCGAUAUAAAGGAUGGGGAUGCGUUCCAUUAGGUUGUUGGUGAGGUAACGGCUCACCAAGCCUUCGAUGGAUAGGGGUUCUGAGAGGAAGGUCCCCCAAAUUGGAACUGAGACACGGUCCAAACUCCUACGGGAGGCAGCAGGGAGGAAUAUUGGUCAAUGGGCGCUAGCCUGAACCUGCCAAGUAGCGUGAAGGAUGAAGGCUUAUGGGUCGUAAACUUCUUUUAUAUGGGAAGGUACCAUAAGAAAAAGCCCCGGCUAACUACGUGCCAGCAGCCGCGGUAAUAC
rnacentral:rRNA from 1 species